rnacentral:rRNA from 1 species
AUUGAACGCUAGCGGGAUGCCUUACACAUGCAAUUCGAACGGAGUGGCGAACGGUUGAGUAAUGUAUCGGAACGUGCCCAUUAGCGGGGGAUAACUACGCGAAAUCGUAGCUAAUACCUCCUACUAUUGGAGCGUCCUAUAUCGGAUUAGCUAUUUGGUGGGGUAACGGCUCACCACGGCGACGAUCCGUAGCUGGUUUGAGAGGACGACACGACACACUGGGACUGAGACACGGCCCAGAUGCAUACGGGAGGAAGCAGUGGGGAAUUGUGGACAAUGGGGGAAACCCUGAUCAAGCCAUCCCGCGUGUGCGAUGAAGGCAUUAGGGUUGUAAAGCACUUGUGGCAGGAAAGCGGUACCUGCAGAAUAAGCACCGGCUAACUACGUGCCAGCAGCCGCGGUAAUAC